ACCAAAGAGAGAAGAAGAAAAAUAUAGGCAAAGACCAAAGAGAGAAGACGAGAAAGAUGCAAAAACAGAGACAAGGGAAAUGAAGAAAUGGUCAGAAAAAAAGGGAGAGCAGAAGGAAGUCAGUGAAAGAAAAAAGUAACACAAGACAGAAGUCCAAAAACAACAUGUAGCAGCAAGCAGAUCCAUAUAGAAGAUACUAUCAGAACAACCAAGAUACAACUCCAGAUGUCUAUACAUCAUUGCUGUGUGAAGACUGCUGAAGAGAAGUAACAAGUAGGGCUUU